UGGCCUUCUGGAAUGUGUAGCAGACACGGAAGCAGCACACAGCAGUUACUGAAGGGAGAGGUCAGUGAACCCAUUCAGUGAGUCACCGUCUCUUCUCCAAAUCAAGGACAAGGGCCUUUGCCAUCCAUCCCUCUCGAGUUCCUGCCUGUGUCCAUCCUUUGCCUGUUUUACUGCCUGAAUUCCUUGAGAAGAAAUCAAAAGAACUACAAUAAAGAUUGCUUGGAAGAAAUCACAGAAGAUGGCAACAUAACAUUGCUAGAAAGAAUAUGACAGAAGGCAAGAAGCAAUGUCCUGUCUUCAAAUGAUGUGAAUUGAAAUAAGCCCUGUGAAAAGAGAGAGAAAGGCAGUAAGAAUUGCAUCCAGGUGUAAAUGGGGAGGAAGAGAAGGCAGCAUGGAGGCUUCCUCACAGCCUGGUGAUCUCAGGGUAAUUGAAUGGCUGAAGACUUCAAGGACACGUGUUGCACCUUCAUGAAUGUAAAGCAAGUGGAGGCUGCCUCAGUCGGAGGGUCCCACAGGUAUUGAACCUGUUAUAGAGACGCCACGGUACCACGCAGAUUGGUUGGUGCACAGACUGCUGGCCUCACCCAGCCUGGGUCCUCAGUGCUGCCCAGUGUUCCUCUCAGAUGCUGUCAAGUAUGCAGCUCCCUCAUCCAUCCUUGAGCCAGGUGCGUGGGCCAGAGAGGAUGCAGGGAAGUGAUGAAGUCACGGGCAGUUAUUAGCCACGCCAUACUAGCUGAUCGAUUGAGGAAAUAAGUCAUAAAGUUCAAUUCUGGUCACAUUGAUACAUUCUCUAAGGCAAGGUUUUAAAGACUCAUUGUUGUCAAUUACAGAUUUUGAUUCAGAAAUAGGUGUGCAGUGGGGCCCAGAAAUUGGUCUUUCCAAUAAGGACCUCAGGUGAGUCUGUUGCAGGUGGUCCAUGGCUCACAGUUUGAGAAAUGCUACUUUAAGGAGACUCUGCUCCCUGAGCUAAGCAAUUUGCAGAUUUAUUACAGAGUAAACAAUUGACAUUUCAUGGCAGGUAUUUCCAGGCUAGGUGUGUAGAAAUGAGCUGAGAUAACAGGUGUUGCCAAUAAGCAGAGGUUUUUUUUUUGGCGCAGUCAGUCUGUCACUUUUCGGGCCGCUGUAAGCAUUUUCUACACUGUGUAGUGAUUUCCUUCUUGGAGAUGCCAAAUCAGCCUCUGAUAAAUAUGGAAAGGGGGAAAGGAAUUUUCAUGCAGAUUAAAAAUAAUACCCCAAGUUCAGCCUCUCCACCACUGCAAGUAAAUUUGAUGGAAAUAAAAGCUAAAAUAGGCAGAAAUGAGGACCACUGCACAGUAAAAAGGCGCCAUGGGAAUAUUGUGAAAAGGGCAGCAAAACACACUCUAGAAAAAGAAGUGUCAGCUUCCUGGGCUCUGUGGUAAUUUAAAGGCCCACAGGACUCCCUUCUCUCCACAGGCAAGUUCCUGUUUUAGCCACUUGAGAUAAUAUCAUAUAUAAGGGCUAGUGUGUUAAAUUUUUUUCUAAGUAUAUAGUUACAAUAGAAAAAAAAACUGGUGUGCUGGCAGGAAUAAGAAAUCAGAGUUCUUCUGAAGAGAACUUAAAAAAACCAAACAAACAGGGCAGGAUACUUUCUGGAGACCCCGUUUCUUCUGGAGCUUCCUUACAAUGGGAAUCAGAUUUAUCCUCCUUGAUCUCUGGUCUAUGGAGGAUGUUUUUAAGUUGGCUUGUCCCCAAAAGAUGAUAAUUAAAGGUGAUUUUAAAGUUCUUCUCCCAUCCCCUCUGAUACAUUACUGAUCAGGCCAGCUCCUGAUGCUGAUUGUAACUCUGAGCCGGCUCAGCGCAAUCUCACAGACACCCUGAACCUCAGCUGUAAUGAUUUGCUAACAUCAAUAUGUCAUUUGAACGUUAUCUCCUUCAGUCACUCUUUGAUGAAGAUGCCGAUAAGCUAUGAGGAACAAGGCACAGCGAAAAUGAGGCAGGUAGGGAAUAGGCAGAUAAGAUACAAAAAUUUCUCGUUCCUGACCUUGAGUAUCUUCAUGGUGUGCCUGUGGUAUCUUCCUGACCCCCCGUCUUCACAUCUACCCUGAGCAAGCUCGCUGCUUGGCAUACACAGUAGACUCUUCCCAGAUACUGCCUGCACGUCAGCAGUGCUCUAUUAAUAUUGAGUAAUAGCAGACCUAGCACCUAUCUUUCUUUUCAAUCCACCUCAUCUCAACUCUUGUGUUUAAAGGCAGUUCUUCUUUUUUGGGGUGUACUCCAGGGUAGCAUAGCAAUCCCAUGCCACCUUGUUCUCUGUUCAUGCCAACAGUCCAUGCCUGGAGCAUCUAUGUUAGGUGGCUGUGGGAAGCACCUUGGGGGUGAGAUGAAGGUACAGAGAGAGGAAAGUAUAGACACGAAAGAGCAUCCUUUCUGAGAAAAAAUAAAGCAACCGACAAACCCCAAACCUGUGUUAAAUAGAACAGGUUCUACUGCUUAACAUGUUGAUGAUUAUUUCACAUCAUUUCUUGUUCUGAGUCUGUUUCCUCACCUGUAAAUGUGAACAAUAGCCACUUCAAUGAUUGUCCUAAAGAUCAAAUUAAAUAAUUAGGGUUGUUAUAUUUAGCAAAUAAAAAUAAAGUCAAUAUAUGCCCCAUGCAAUAUACUGAAAAAUUAUUUGUUAUUUAUCUGAAAUUAAAAUUUGCCUGGUGUCCUAUGUGUUUUCUGAUCUCUCUAGAAAUAGUAUGUGGUAACAGUAGCCAUUUCUCGAGUGCCUUUCAUGUGCCAGGGACCCCUAGGAACGUCAAUUACAUUGGCCACCAUUUCAACAGAGGCUCAAAGCAGUUAUAAC